AUUAGGCUUCACACCUUCCCAGGGCCAUUUCUAUACUUCCACACGUCUCUUCUGUCCUGCCAGGACAAGUUACUCUCAUCCUAGGCUGUGCCAGCCACGAGAGACUCUAGUCACCAAGAUGUGUGUGAUCUUGCUGCAGACUUGGUGACAGAAUGGGCUGUGGUUUAACUCUGCCAGAGGAGCAGCCCCUCUAGCUUGCAAGCCCUCUAACAAGGAAAGAGUUAGACCCAAAGAAACCAGGGGAGGUCCAGGCUUCUGGGGCUGAGUGUGCUGCUAUGCCUUCUUGGACUAGGCCACUGAGGUUGGCCUCAUCUGUAAAGUGGGUAGGAUAACAGUACCUCUUUCCUCUCCUGGGGUGGUGUGAGUAUGAAAUGGGCCAUGACUGCUUGACUAAGCACCUAUAAGUGGUGUUGAUUGUGAUGUCAUUGCAAACAGCUGGGCACAUUCAAGGGGUAGCUAUCAAAUUCCCAGCCUCUUACAUGACCAUGAUGAUUAAUCUUGACCAUCUGCUUGGCUGGACUGAGAGGUGCCUAGGAGACUGGUAAAGUGCUUCUGUGAGUGUGUCUGUGAGGACAUUCUCCACAUGGUAUCAUGAGCCAGACACAGUGGCACAGGCUUGUCAUCCCAGCACUGAGAAGGUUGAGGCAGGAAUGUCAAAAAUUCAAGUGACUAUUCAACAUACAGUCUCUUUGAGGGCCCCGAAUGACAGAACAGAAGCUCCUCAGAAGAUCUCAGCAAAGAGUAGAUGGAUCCAGCCAGGCAGUGGUGGCACACGCCUUUGAUCCAGCACUCAGGAGGCAGAGGCAGGUGGAUCUCUGAGUUCGAGGCCAACCUGGUCUACAGAGCAAGUUCCAGCUACUGGCACCAUUUGAGGACCAAGGCUUAAGGAGGAACUGUUAGGAGAUGGGCCCCAGCUGGUGGAAGUGGCUGACUAGGGGCAGACCUUGAAGAUUAUACCUACCCCUGGAUCCUGCUUUGCUCUUGAUCCCUGGUCUACCGAGAUGUGAACAACGUCUACCACAUACUCCCAUUGCCAUGAACUCCAUCAUUCAUGUCUUCCCCUGCGAUGAUGGACUGAGACACACUCUUCCCCCAAUAAAGUCAUGA